UCUCUACUAGUAUAGCGGCCUCCAAAUUUUUCUGCUAAUUCAUCCUCAAAUUCUAAAGUUCGUUGUAGUGCCUGGACACAAAUUUUGAAACAAAAGUAGUAUUAGCACUUAGCAGAUGCAAAACUGGCAUCCUGAAAUCAAAGAAUUCUUGAGACAGGAAUAUUGAUCAUACUGUGCAUUGACAUCUCAUUAACAUCACCAAAGAAAGGUAGAGGAUAGGUACUCCAAUUUUAAUUGCUUGAAGCUAAGUCAGACAAGUAAUAGCUAGCAAAUACUCAGAAAAAAAAAAUUUCCAGAACCCCAAGACAAGUGCUGGGAAAACUCCUUCAAGGGAAUCCCCUAAUAGUAAUUUGCACUAAGCAGAACAGAAUCCAAUUUAUUUAGGAUGCAAGAAAAACAAAUUAUCAGACAGACAAGACGGCAAAGGUUAAAAUGGUGCAAAGAUUUUAUUUUAAUGUUAUUUAAUCUAAUUCAAAGAUCAGUACAAUGGUGAAACAGAUGAAGUUUCAACACAUUAGACAGUAGAUGUGCCAAUAUGUUCAAAAUAGUUUAAGAUAUACAACUUAUUGCAGGUUUCACUGCUAAAGUAGAAAGGAA
rnacentral:lncRNA from 1 species